UGUGGGGGCUGAAGAGAAGCUCAAAGUAAAAAGAGGCACAGUAGAGUCUUCUGUUGGUUUUCAUUCAUCUUAACAUCAGUAUCAAACACCUGCUAUGUGUUAGGCUCCCUGCCAGGUGCUGAAGCUGGGGUGACAGUGGUAGCUACUUUUCAGCUCUGAGACAAAAUGUCUAACAAAAGCAACUUAUUGGGGGAGAAUAUAUUUGGUUUUGAGGGCUUUCAAGUUCUCGUGGCGAGGAAGGCAUGGUCACAUAGAAUUGUCUGUGGUGACAUUCACAGUGGAGGGGGAAUACAGGAUAGAUACUUUGUGUUGCAGUGUUCCACGAAGAAAACCAAACCAGAACUAUGGCCAGGUUUAAUGUAAAAAGUG
rnacentral:lncRNA from 1 species